rnacentral:lncRNA from 1 species
ACAGGGGAGGAGCCAAGAUGGCCAAAUAGGAACAGCUCCGGUCUACAGCUCCCAGCGUGAGCGACGCAGAAGACGGGUGAUUUCUGCAUUUCCAUCUGAGGUACUUUAUUCACAUGCCAGCCUUGCAGAAAAGGCUCCCAUUGUGUUACCCCAUCACUCAACCUACCAUUCAACUUUUUCAUGAAGUUCUGAAAUUGGUUGAAUAGAAACAAACAAUGUACGCAAUGUUAAUAAGAGUAUAAAAUGUUAAUCAAGAGUCAACUUGAUAUUCACGAGAAACAUUUUUUUAUUUGUUUAAUAUCUGGCUAUCUCUGAGUCCUAUAAACAAAGAUUUUAAUUGAAUGUUCCAUCAAUACCUCUCUAUGAGAAGUUUAAAAUUUUAAAAAAUAAAUUUGAUUUAUUAU